CCCUUAGAUGUUCUGGGCCGCACACGCGCUACCCUGAAGGAGGCAGCGUGUACUCCUGGAUCGAAAGAUUUGGGUAACCCGCGAAUCUCCUUCGUGCUAGGGAUUGAGGUUUGCAAUUAUCCUUCAUGAACGAGGAAUUCCCAGUAAGUGCAAGUCAUAAGCUUGCGCUGACUACGUCCCUGCCCUUUGUACACACCGCCCGUCGCUACUACCGAUUGAAUGAUUUAGUGAGGACUUCGGACUGGGACCGAUGCGGCUUUCGGGCUGCGUCGGUAUUCUGGAAAGAUGUCCAAACUGUAUCAUUUAGAGGAAGUAAAAGUCGUAACA
rnacentral:rRNA from 1 species